GGGCUUAUAAUUCAAUGGCAGAAUAAGCGCUUGAUAAGCGUUAAAUGUUGGUUCAAUUCCAGCUAAGCUCA
rnacentral:tRNA from 1 species